rnacentral:rRNA from 1 species
AGAGCGAACGCUGGCGGCAGGCUUAACACAUGCAAGUCGAGCGGGCGUAGCAAUACGUCAGCGGUAGACGGGUGAGUAACGCGUGGGAACAUACCUUUUGGUUCGGAACAACCCAGGGAAACUUGGGCUAAUACCGGAUAAGCCCUUACGGGGAAAGAUUUAUCGCCGAAAGAUUGGCCCGCGUCUGAUUAGCUAGUUGGUGAGGUAACGGCUCACCAAGGCGACGAUCAGUAGCUGGUCUGAGAGGAUGAUCAGCCACAUUGGGACUGAGACACGGCCCAAACUCCUACGGGAGGCAGCAGUGGGGAAUAUUGGACAAUGGGCGCAAGCCUGAUCCAGCCAUGCCGCGUGAGUGAUGAAGGCCCUAGGGUUGUAAAGCUCUUUUGUGCGGGAAGAUAAUGACGGUACCGCAAGAAUAAGCCCGGCUAACUUCGCGCCAGCAGCCGC